GGAAUUCCUAGUGGAGCGGUGGAAUGCGUAGAUAUUAGGAAGAACACCAAUAGGCGAAAGCAGCUAACCGGUCAUAUAUUGACACUAAUGGACGAAAGCGUGGGGAGCAAACAGGAUUAGAUACCCUGGUAGUCCACGCCGUAAACGAUGAUCAUUAGUUGGUGGCAAAAGUCACUAGCACAGCUAACGCGUUAAAUGAUCCGCCUGAGUAGUAUGCUCGCAAGAGUGAAACUUAAAGGAAUUGACGGGAACCCGCACAAGCGGUGGAGCAUGUGGUUUAAUUUGAAGAUACGCGUAGAACCUUACCCACUCUUGACAUCCUCGCAAAACUAUAGAGAUAUAGCGGAGGCUAACGAGAUGACAGAUGGUGCAUGGUUGUCGUCAGCUCGUGUCGUGAGAUGUUAGGUUAAGUCCUGCAACGAGCGCAACCCUUUCCUUUAGUUGCUAACAUUAAGUUGAGAACCCUAGAGAUACUGCCGGUGCAAACCGGAGGAAGGCGGGGAUGACGUCAAAUCAUCAUGCCUCUUACGAGUGGGGCAACACAUGUGCUACAAUGGCUACUACAAAGAGCAGCGAAACAGUGAUGUCAAGCUAAUCUCAAAAAAGUAGUCUCAGUUCGGAUUGAAGUCUGCAACU
rnacentral:rRNA from 1 species